rnacentral:misc_RNA from 1 species
AAAGUCGUAACAAGGUUUCCGUAGGUGAACCUGCGGAAGGAUCAUUAUUGAAUGAAUUUAGAGUUGGUUGUCGCUGGCCCCCCCAAGCAAAAGGGGGCAUGUGCACGCCUUCUCUUUUCAUCCACACACACCUGUGCACUUGUGAGACGGGGGAGGAUUGAAAAAAAGUCCUCCGUCUACUAAUUACACAAACUCAAUUGUACUUGAACUGAAUGUAAUUGAUGUAACACAUCAUUAGAACAAAGUUUCAACAACGGAUCUCUUGGCUCUC